AUCUCUAAUGCCUCCUUCAGGUGAAAAGUCUUGUAGGAGAGGAGCUCUUUCACAGAUAUGAUUGUCUUCUCCUACAGUCUACCCUGGACUUCAUGCCUGACAUCACGUAUUGUCCUCGGCUCACUUGCGGUUCUGCUGUGAUUCUGGAGAAGUCCAGCCUUGCAGCAAUGUGCUCUGUCUGCAGCUAUGCUUUCUGCGCAAACUGCAACACAUACCAUAGAACAAACAAAUGCUACGAAGAACCUAAAGAACCUCACAAACCUGAAGAGACGAGUUUUUAUUUCAGAGAGCAUCAUUUAAUCCACUAUUGCCUAUGAGAAAACAAUGUUAAAAAAUUAAAUUUUUUCUUUGAAACCAUGAAUAAAUGUUAAAAAAAAUUAUCACAAUAGGAAAUAUUUAAGUGCACCACUUAUACCCCAACGCCUCUGCAGAAAUAAUAAAAUUCCCUAAAUUCCCAACAUUUAACAGAAAUUUAUAACAGAGGUGAAACAAAACUACAUCAAGAUCAACAUGUAUUAAAAAAUAAAACAAAUACAAAAAUGGCUUA